rnacentral:rRNA from 1 species
GUAGGAUAGGUGGGAGGCUUUGAAGUGUGGACGCCAGUCUGCAUGGAGCCGACCUUGAAAUACCACCCUUUAAUGUUUGAUGUUCUAACGUGGACCCGUAAUCCGGGUUGCGGACAGUGUCUGGUGGGUAGUUUGACUGGGGCGGUCUCCUCCUAAAGAGUAACGGAGGAGCACGAAGGUUGGCUAAUCCUGGUCGGACAUCAGGAGGUUAGUGCAAUGGCAUAAGCCAGCUUGACUGCGAGCGUGACGGCGCGAGCAGGUGCGAAAGCAGGUCAUAGUGAUCCGGUGGUUCUGAAUGGAAGGGCCAUCGCUCAACGGAUAAAAGGUACUCCGGGGAUAACAGGCUGAUACCGCCCAAGAGUUCAUAUCGACGGCGGUGUUUGGCACCUCGAUGUCGGCUCAUCACAUCCUGGGGCUGAAGUAGGUCCCAAGGGUAUGGCUGUUCGCCAUUUAAAGUGGUACGCGAGCUGGGUUUAGAACGUCGUGAGACAGUUCGGUCCCUAUCUGCCGUGGGCGCUGGAGAACUGAGGGGGGCUGCUCCUAGUACGAGAGGACCGGAGUGGACGCAUCACUGGUGUUCGGGUUGUCAUGCCAAUGGCACUGCCCGGUAGCUAAAUGCGGAAGAGAUAAGUGCUGAAAGCAUCUAAGCACGAAACUUGCCCCGA